GUUAACCUUUAAAGUGCUGGUGGCUUUUCCUCCCCCUUUUCCUCCUUUCAAAAGCACCGGCUUCUAAAAAGAAGUCUUCCAAAUCUCUCUUUGACACGACACACUCCCAACAAAUGUAACACAAUCGCUGGGUGUCGAUCCACGGAGCGAUCUGCGCGCUUAACAGCUUUUCUUUUGUUCUCCUCCUCCUCCCUUGACUUUUAAACAGAGUUGGAAAUGAAACAGCAGAGAGAGGGAACCCACCAAAGCGAGACAGAAUGUCAUCUGACAACUCUACCAUUCUCUGUGAUGUGCAACUCUUCUCAGGGACCAGCCCUUACGGCUUGCCUUGACCCUUCCACUUGCCAGAGGUAAAUGUGGAACAGCGGCUCCUUGGGAACGCGAUUCAGAAAGCUCUGGAAAACAAGUCAGCGGCAUUCAGAAGCAUUUAGCCUCUACGUCUUUUCAAGGUCAAGCCCGAUGCUAAUAUGUGCUUGGAAAUCACAUGCCUCGGUCAUAUUACAUGGCGCUGUGAGGCGGCGAGACAAUGCAGCCAUGUGCGCAGGGACCAGAGCAGCCUCGCGAUGUCACAGCGAUGAAGCAACCAAAGACGAUCAGCUCUCAUGAAUCAGACUGCUCCAAGAGGAGGCAGCUCAGUUUGGUCUCCAGACGGAGAAAAAUCCAAUGACAAAAGAUUGGGGACAGGGGGGAGGCGGACGAGUGUCACCCCCUUGUUCCAGCACCUUGGCUUCUGCCUGCGAGUUGUCAGUCAUUUGCGCCGAAGGAGGAAGAUGAGGUCUGAGACUGAAUGAUAUAUAUUAAAGAUACAUAGCUACUAAUGUCUUCUUCAUUAGACGAGCCAAGUUGGAUCAGGACAGAGCAAUGGCCCAUCCAGUUCAGCGGCCUCUUUCCCACAAUAACCACCCUAAUAUUCCUGGAAAGUCCACAGGAAAGGGAUUCACCAGGCUGAACCACCCAAGCCCAGAAACCAUUUUGUCAUGUGUUGCCUCCAACACCCCAGCAUGGUAGCUUAGCAACCGACUUCCAAGUCUUCUGAAAGUGGUAGUGAAGAUCCGCCGCUCGGGAAACCCGAAUGCAUGGAGUGACAAACCAGUCCUCAAAGCUCACUCCAUUUCCAGAAAUCCAUAAGAAGAGUCCUGUUGAAAGAGACUGAUCCAGAAGUCCAGAGUCCUGCUUCUCACAAUGCCCCAUAAGGAGGACUUGAGAGCAAUAACCAUCUCCUGCCGUUGUCCCCCAAUGACAGCUGUUUACCGCACACCUGAGAUUGUAUUCUAGGCUGCUGGCAUCCCGAGGAAAAGCACUGCUCACACCUGCAUGGGAAUUUGACUGUCAAUGUUUCACAUUCUUAAUUAUCCUGUUUUUGAGAAAAGGAAGCGCUGCCUCAUUUGGUUGAAUACCUCUGCAUUGUCAGCUCAGAUACAAAAGUAGGAGAUUAUAAAAUGUGCAUUUUCUUAUAAUCUUUUUUCCAUGGGGGACAGAAGUUUUGCUUUCUUAAGAUAACCUUGCAGCAGCAGGCACAAGAUUGUUAAGACGAAAGUUGGUUUGUCUGGAUACUCACUGCGUAAGUUCUUACACAACAAGGUGCCAAGGGAGAAAAUGGUCUAGCAGUCAUGCCUUCUGAGUGCCCUUGAGCAAAUAGCUGCGCCUAUUUCUUACAUUCAUGCACUAAGCCAAGGGUCAUCAAUGUGGCCUCUGCUGUCACCUUGAGAUCUUCCCCUGGCACCCAUGAAGCCUCUGAGCUCCCCCACUGCCCCCCCCCAUCAUGAGGUGAUGAGAAUUGUUACCUUUUUCUCCAUCAUACAUACAGCAAAAUGAGGAAACUCUGAGCUUUUCGAAGUCCAGAAACUGAAGAUUGGAAAAACGAGAAUUUCAGACAAAUCACAAAUCAAAAUGGACAAGUUCACCCAUCCCUAGUAAUAAUGCCUAAUACAGGGGUGGGAAUCAUAUAGAGCUCAAUGACAAAGCAUGUAUUUUGAAUGCUAAGCACCUCCACUUGGGUUUGAUUGGCAGCUAGACUGGUGACUGGGAGUGGCUGCCGAGACCAUAUAACACUAGUCCUGAAAGACCGAC